rnacentral:misc_RNA from 1 species
AAGUCGUAACAAGGUUUCCGUAGGUGAACCUGCGGAAGGAUCAUUAAUGAAAUUCUGACUGAGGUUGUAGCUGGCCCUUCGCGGGGCAAUGUGCACGCCUCUUUCACAAUCCACACACACCUGUGCACCUUUGCGUGAGUCUUUCGGGAGCGAGGCGGAGACGUCUCCAGUACCGGGGCUCGCGUCCUUUUCACAAACUCUUUUGUAUGUCUUUAGAAUGUCUUACUCGAUGUUAUAAAACGCAUCUAAUACAACUUUCAACAACGGAUCUCUUGGCUCUC